rnacentral:rRNA from 1 species
CCUACGGGAGACAGCAGUGAGGAAUAGUGGUCAAUGGACGAGAGUCUGAACCAGCCAAGUAGCGUGAAGGAUGACUGCCCUAUGGGUUGUAAACUUCUGUUAUAGGGGAAUAAAAUGUGCCACGUGUGGGAUUUUGUAUGUACCAUAUGAAUAAGGAUCGGCUAACGCCGUGACAGCAGCCGCGGUAAUACGGAGGAUCCGAGCGUUAUCCGGCUUUAUUGGGGUGAAAGGGAGCGUAGGGGGCUUGUUAAGUCAGUUGUGAAAGUUUGCGGCUCACCCGUCAAAUUGCAGUUGAAACUGGCAGUCUUGCGUACAGUAGCGGUGGGCGGACUUCGUGUUGUAGCCG